rnacentral:rRNA from 1 species
AGCCCAAACCAAUAAAGUUUUCUUUAUUGGGGUUGCGGACAUAUCAUAACGAAGAGGUAUCGUAAUUGAAGAGGUUUGGAAAGACCCACCACAGAAGGUAAUAGUCCUGUAUGUUAAACGAGAAGACUUUAGAUAUGAUCCAGAGUACCACGGGACACGUGAAACCCUGUGGGAAGCAGGAGGGACCACCCUCCAAGGCUAAAUACUACCUAGUGACCGAUAGCGUAUAGUACCGUGAGGGAAAGGUGAAAAGAACCCCGGGAGGGGAGUGAAAUAGAACCUGAAACCCUGCACUUACAAGCUGUGGAAGCACAUUUCUUGUGUGACCGCGUACUUUUUGUAGAACGGGCCAACGAGUUACGUUAAGUAGCAAGGUUAAGCACUUAAGGUGCGGAGCCGUAGCGAAAGCGAGUUUUAACUGAGCGUUCAGUUACUUGACGUAGACCCGAAACCGGGCGACCUACCCAUGAGCAGGAUGAAGCGAAAGUAAAAUUUCGUGGAGGUCCGAACCCACGAGCGUUGAAAAGCUCGGGGAUGACUUGUGGGUAGCGGUGAAAUUCCAAUCGAGCCCGGAGAUAGCUGGUUCUCCCCGAAAUAGCUUUAGGGCUAGCCUCAAGGUGAGAGAUACGGAGGUAGAGCACUGAAUGUCCUAGGGGGUAUUGCACCUACCGAAGACUAUCAAACUCCGAAUGCCGUCAUCUUAUACUUGGGAGUCAGACUGUGGGUGAUAAGAUUCAUAGUCGAAAGGGCAACAGCCCAGAUCGUCAGCUAAGGUCCCUAAAUGUAAGUUAAGUGGUAAAGGAUGUGGGAUUGCACAGACAACCAGGAUGUUGGCUUAGAAGCAGCCACUCAUUCAAAGAGUGCGUAAUAGCUCACUGGUCGAGUGAUCCUGCGCCGAAGAUUUCCGGGGCUAAAACUUACUACCGAAGCUACGGCAUCAGUAAUGAUGGGUAGGGGAGCUUCCCAUACGGGUUGAAGCAUGACCGUAAGGACAUGUGGACAGUAUGGGAGUGAGAAUGUUGGCAUGAGUAGCGAGAUGUGGGUGAGAAUCCCACAGGCCGUAAACCCAAGGUUUCCAGGGGAAGGUUCGUCCGCCCUGGGUUAGUCGGGACCUAAGCUGAGGCCGAAAGGCGUAGGUGAUGGACAACAGGUUGAUAUUCCUGUACUACCGAUAACCGUUUGAGAGAAGGGAUGACACAGUAGGAUAAGCUAAGCACACUGUUGGUUAUGUGUGCCCAAGCAUUGAGGCAGUCAAAGUAGGCAAAUCCGCUUUGAUAAUGCUGGGAUGUGAUGGGGAGCGAAAUUUAGUAGCGAAGUAGCUGAUUUCACACUGUCAAGAAAAGUCUCUAUCGAGGUUAAAGGUACCCGUACCGCAAACCGACACAGGUGGGUGAGGAGAGUAUCCUAAGGCCAGCGAGAGAACUGUUGUUAAGGAACUCGGCAAAAUGACCCCGUAACUUAGGGAUAAGGGGUGCCACCAUCAGGUGGCCGCAGAGAAUAGGCCCAAGCGACUGUUUACCAAAAACAUAGGUUUCUGCUAAGUCGCAAGACGAUGUAUAGGAGCUGACGCCUGCCCGGUGCUGGAAGGUUAAGGGGAUCUGUUAGAGCAAUCGAAGCAGUGAACUUAAGCCCCAGUAAACGGCGGCCGUAACUAUAACGGUCCUAAGGUAGCGAAAUUCCUUGUCGGGUAAGUUCCGACCCGCACGAAAGGCGUAACGAUUUGGGCACUGUCUCAACAACAGACUCGGUGAAAUUGUAAUUCCGGUGAAGAUGCCGGAUACCUGCGACAGGACGGAAAGACCCCAUGGAGCUUUACUGUAGCUUGACAUUGGGUCUUGGUACUACAUGUACAGGAUAGGUGGGAGGCUUUGAAACCAGGACGCCAGUUUUGGCGGAGCCAUCCUUGGGAUACCACCCUUGUAGUACUGGGACUCUAACCAUAGGCCAUGAAUCUGGUCUUGGGACACUGUCAGGUGGGCAGUUUGACUGGGGCGGUCGCCUCCCAAAAGGUAACGGAGGCGCUCAAAGGUUCUCUCAGUACGGUCGGAAAUCGUACGUAGAGUGUAAAGGCAAAAGAGAGCUUGAUUGCAAGACAUACAGGUCGAGCAAGGAUGAAAAUCGGACUUAGUGAUCCGGUGGUUCUGCGUGGAAGGGCCAUCGCUCAACGGAUAAAAGCUACCCUGGGGAUAACAGGCUUAUCUCCCCCAAGAGUCCACAUCGACGGGGAGGUUUGGCACCUCGAUGUCGGCUCAUCACAUCCUGGGGCUGUAGUAGGUCCCAAGGGUUGGGCUGUUCGCCCAUUAAAGUGGUACGCGAGCUGGGUUCAGAACGUCGUGAGACAGUUCGGUCCCUAUCCGUCGCAGGCGUAGGAAAUUUGAGAAGACCUGUCCUUAGUACGAGAGGACCGGGAUGGACGUACCUCUGGUGUACCAGUUGUUCUGCCAAGGGCAUGGCUGGGUAGCUAUGUACGGAAUGGAUAAGCGCUGAAAGCAUCUAAGCGCGAAGCCAACUUCAAGAUAAGAUUUCCCACCGCAAGGGUAAGACCCCAGAAAGACUAUCUGGUUGA